ACGGAAGGCAGCAGUGGGGAAUAUUGCACAAUGGGCGAAAGCCUGAUGCAGCGACGCCGCGUGAGUGAAGAAGUAUUUCGGUAUGUAAAGCUCUAUCAGCAGGGAGGAAAAAUGACGGUACCUGACUAAGAAGCACCGGCUAAAUACGUGCCAGCAGCCGCGGUAAUACGUAUGGUGCAAGCGUUAUCCGGAUUUACUGGGUGUAAAGGGAGCGCAGGCGGUACGGCAAGUCUGAUGUGAAAGCCCGGGGCUCAACCCCGGUACUGCGUUGGAAACUGUCGAACUAGAGUGUCGGAGGGGUAAGCGGAAUUCCCAGUGUAGCGGUGAAAUGCGUAGAGAUUGGGAGGAACACCAGUGGCGAAGGCGACUUACUGGGCUGUAACUGACGCUGAGGCGCGAAAGCGUGGGGAGCAAACAGGAUUAGAUACCCUGGUA
rnacentral:rRNA from 1 species